rnacentral:rRNA from 1 species
AACCAGUACCGUGAGGGAAAGGCGAAAAGAACCCCGGCGAGGGGAGUGAAAAAGAACCUGAAACCGUGUACGUACAAGCAGUGGGAGCACGCUUAGGCGUGUGACUGCGUACCUUUUGUAUAAUGGGUCAGCGACUUAUAUUCUGUAGCAAGGUUAACCGAAUAGGGGAGCCGAAGGGAAACCGAGUCUUAACUGGGCGUUAAGUUGCAGGGUAUAGACCCGAAACCCGGUGAUCUAGCCAUGGGCAGGUUGAAGGUUGGGUAACACUAACUGGAGGACCGAACCGACUAAUGUUGAAAAAUUAGCGGAUGACUUGUGGCUGGGGGUGAAAGGCCAAUCAAACCGGGAGAUAGCUGGUUCUCCCCGAAAGCUAUUUAGGUAGCGCCUCGUGAAUUCAUCUCCGGGGGUAGAGCACUGUUUCGGCAAGGGGGUCAUCCCGACUUACCAACCCGAUGCAAACUGCGAAUACCGGAGAAUGUUAUCACGGGAGACACACGGCGGGUGCUAACGUCCGUCGUGAAGAGGGAAACAACCCAGACCGCCAGCUAAGGUCCCAAAGUCAUGGUUAAGUGGGAAACGAUGUGGGAAGGCCCAGACAGCCAGGAUGUUGGCUUAGAAGCAGCCAUCAUUUAAAGAAAGCGUAAUAGCUCACUGGUCGAGUCGGCCUGCGCGGAAGAUGUAACGGGGCUAAACCAUGCACCGAAGCUGCGGCAGCGACGCUGAUGCGUUGUUGGGUAGGGGAGCGUUCUGUAAGCCUGUGAAGGUGUGCUGUGAGGCAUGCUGGAGGUAUCAGAAGUGCGAAUGCUGACAUAAGUAACGAUAAAGCGGGUGAAAAGCCCGCUCGCCGGAAGACCAAGGGUUCCUGUCCAACGUUAAUCGGGGCAGGGUGAGUCGACCCCUAAGGCGAGGCCGAAAGGCGUAGUCGAUGGGAAACAGGUUAAUAUUCCUGUACUUGGUGUUACUGCGAAGGGGGGACGGAGAAGGCUAUGUUGGCCGGGCGACGGUUGUCCCGGUUUAAGCGUGUAGGCUGGUUUUCCAGGCAAAUCCGGAAAAUCAAGGCUGAGGCGUGAUGACGAGGCACUACGGUGCUGAAGCAACAAAUGCCCUGCUUCCAGGAAAAGCCUCUAAGCAUCAGGUAACAUCAAAUCGUACCCCAAACCGACACAGGUGGUCAGGUAGAGAAUACCAAGGCGCUUGAGAGAACUCGGGUGAAGGAACUAGGCAAAAUGGUGCCGUAACUUCGGGAGAAGGCACGCUGAUAUGUAGGUGAAGUCCCUCGCGGAUGGAGCUGAAAUCAGUCGAAGAUACCAGCUGGCUGCAACUGUUUAUUAAAAACACAGCACUGUGCAAACACGAAAGUGGACGUAUACGGUGUGACGCCUGCCCGGUGCCGGAAGGUUAAUUGAUGGGGUCAGCGCAAGCGAAGCUCUUGAUCGAAGCCCCGGUAAACGGCGGCCGUAACUAUAACGGUCCUAAGGUAGCGAAAUUCCUUGUCGGGUAAGUUCCGACCUGCACGAAUGGCGUAAUGAUGGCCAGGCUGUCUCCACCCGAGACUCAGUGAAAUUGAACUCGCUGUGAAGAUGCAGUGUACCCGCGGCAAGACGGAAAGACCCCGUGAACCUUUACUAUAGCUUGACACUGAACAUUGAGCCUUGAUGUGUAGGAUAGGUGGGAGGCUUAGAAGUGUGGACGCCAGUCUGCAUGGAGCCGACCUUGAAAUACCACCCUUUAAUGUUUGAUGUUCUAACGUUGACCCGUAAUCCGGGUUGCGGACAGUGUCUGGUGGGUAGUUUGACUGGGGCGGUCUCCUCCUAAAGAGUAACGGAGGAGCACGAAGGUUGGCUAAUCCUGGUCGGACAUCAGGAGGUUAGUGCAAUGGCAUAAGCCAGCUUGACUGCGAGCGUGACGGCGCGAGCAGGUGCGAAAGCAGGUCAUAGUGAUCCGGUGGUUCUGAAUGGAAGGGCCAUCGCUCAACGGAUAAAAGGUACUCCGGGGAUAACAGGCUGAUACCGCCCAAGAGUUCAUAUCGACGGCGGUGUUUGGCACCUCGAUGUCGGCUCAUCACAUCCUGGGGCUGAAGUAGGUCCCAAGGGUAUGGCUGUUCGCCAUUUAAAGUGGUACGCGAGCUGGGUUUAGAACGUCGUGAGACAGUUCGGUCCCUAUCUGCCGUGGGCGCUGGAGAACUGAGGGGGGCUGCUCCUAGUACGAGAGGACCGGAGUGGACGCAUCACUGGUGUUCGGGUUGUCAUGCCAAUGGCACUGCCCGGUAGCUAAAUGCGGAAGAGAUAAGUGCUGAAAGCAUCUAAGCACGAAACUUGCCCCGAGAUGAGUUCUCCCUGACUCCUUGAGAGUCCUGAAGGAACGUUGAAGACGACGACGUUGAUAGGCCGGGUGUGUAAGCGCAGCGAUGCGUUGAGCUAACCGGUACUAAUGAACCGUGAGG